GUUUUAUUUACUUCAAGUUGCUAUGGCAUCCUAUUCUGAAGCCUCCUGUUCAACACCGCCCAGCCCAGCGUGGGGGUGAAGAGGCGGUGCGGUGCCACGUGGGACUAGGCUCUGGUACGGGCUCCUAAUCUCCCUAGGGUGAAAAAUUCAGGUCCAUUCAACGUGUGUUAGGGAGUGCACAGUUCCCCUCCCCCACGUCAUACUGCCGAGGAGUAGGACUCUGCCCAUUUCCUCUGCCGGAGAGCACUGAGCUGUCCACAAACAGGGACUUUCCACUUUCAGCAAAACAGACCGCACAGAAAGAUCUGCGAUUGUCUGAGGAGGAAAGGAACCUAACUGCUCACCAAAAGCAGUCUCCUUCUACCUGCACGAUUUUUUGUGUGGGGGACAGGGAAAGAUGCCUGCCUCUGGUUGCGACUGGGCACUCCACCACCGAACAGCAAUGCCUAGGCAGCUAGUGCUUCUAGCAGUUCCAUCACGACCAAGUCCAGCGAGCUGAGGCUCAAUCUCAGGUCCAGGUGCUUUACUCUCCUGCCACGGAACCAGCACAAGGAGCCACUGAAUCUGUGUCUGCCAACUCCAUUACCCACCAGUCUCCUCGGACUCUCCAGGACACCAGCACUCCUGCACAUUUCCUAUUCUAGUCGUUUGUUUUGCCUGCCCCAUUCCUGAUGACCCCUGGAUGAAGCGACCCUGCAUCUUAUCAGACACCUCAACCACGCCACUUCUGACAGCCCCUUGAAUGAUGUGUGUCACACACUCUCCAUGCACUGAUCACGGUUAGGGAGAAGCUCAGACUGAACACACUCUCUCUCAGGCUACAGUGUAUCUUUUGGAUCCAGAUUUAUGUAAUUUUUAGACUCUCAAAAAUGUAACUUGGCUUUUUCAG